rnacentral:rRNA from 1 species
UCUUCCGCAAUGGACGCAAGUCUGACGGAGCAACGCCGCGUGAGUGAGGAAGGUCUUCGGAUCGUAAAGCUCUGUUGCCAGGGAAGAACAGGUGUUUGGUAACUACAGACACCGUGACGGUACCUGAGAAGAAAGCCCCGGCUAACUACGUGCCAGCAGCCGCGGUAAUACGUAGGGGGCAAGCGUUGUCCGGAAUUAUUGGGCGUAAAGCGCGCGCAGGCGGUGGAGUAAGUUUGGUGUUUAAGCCCAGGGCUCAACCCUGGUACGCACUGAAAACUGCUUCACUUGAGUACAGAAGAGGAGAGUGGAAUUCCACGUGUAGCGGUGAAAUGCGUAGAGAUGUGGAGGAACACCAGUGGCGAAGGCGACUCUCUGGUCUGAGACUGACGCUGAGGCGCGAAAGCGUGGGGAGCAAA